GAUGAACGCUGGCGGCGUGCUUAACACAUGCAAGUCGAACGGAAAGGCCCAAGCUUGCUUGGGUACUCGAGUGGCGAACGGGUGAGUAACACGUGGGUGAUCUGCCCUGCACUUCGGGAUAAGCCUGGGAAACUGGGUCUAAUACCGGAUAGGACCACAUUUUGGAUGGUGUGGUGGAAGGUUUUUCGGUGUGGGAUGAGCUCGCGGCCUAUCAGCUUGUUGGUGGGGUAAUGGCCUACCAAGGCGUCGACGGGUAGCCGGCCUGAGAGGGUGUACGGCCACAUUGGGACUGAGAUACGGCCCAGACUCCUACGGGAGGCAGCAGUGGGGAAUAUUGCACAAUGGGCGCAAGCCUGAUGCAGCGACGCCGCGUGGGGGAUGACGGCCUUCGGGUUGUAAACUCCUUUCGCUAGGGACGAAGCGUUUUUGUGACGGUACCUGGAGAAGAAGCACCGGCUAACUACGUG
rnacentral:rRNA from 1 species